rnacentral:rRNA from 1 species
UACGGGGGGGGCAAGCGUUGUUCGGAAUUACUGGGCGUAAAGGGCUCGUAGGCGGCCACCUAAGUCGGAUGUGAAAUCCCCAGGCUUAACCUGGGAACUGCAUCCGAUACUGGAUGGCUUGAAUCCGGGAGAGGGAUGCAGAAUUCCAGGUGUAGCGGUGAAAUGCGUAGAUAUCUGGAGGAACACCGGUGGCGAAGGCGGCGUGCUGGACUGCAACUGACGCUGAAAAACGAAAGCCAGGGGAGCAAACGGG